rnacentral:piRNA from 1 species
UAUGGUGUAAGUUUGAGAACUCUGGGCGGGU